rnacentral:rRNA from 1 species
AGUGAACGCUGGCGGUAGGCCUAACACAUGCAAGUCGAACGGCAGCACAGUAAGAGCUUGCUCUUACGGGUGGCGAGUGGCGGACGGGUGAGGAAUACAUCGGAAUCUACUUUUUCGUGGGGGAUAACGUAGGGAAACUUACGCUAAUACCGCAUACGACCUACGGGUGAAAGCAGGGGAUCUUCGGACCUUGCGCGAUUGAAUGAGCCGAUGUCGGAUUAGCUAGUUGGCGGGGUAAGGGCCCACCAAGGCGACGAUCCGUAGCUGGUCUGAGAGGAUGAUCAGCCACACUGGAACUGAGACACGGUCCAGACUCCUACGGGAGGCAGCAGUGGGGAAUAUUGGACAAUGGGCGCAAGCCUGAUCCAGCCAUGCCGCGUGGGUGAAGAAGGCCUUCGGGUUGUAAAGCCCUUUUGUUGGGAAAGAAAAGCAGCAGGUUAAUACCCCGCUGUUCUGACGGUACCCAAAGAAUAAGCACCGGCUAACUUCGUG